rnacentral:rRNA from 1 species
AUGAACGCUAGCUACAGGCUUAACACAUGCAAGUCGAGGGGCAGCAUGGUCUUAGCUUGCUAAGACUGAUGGCGACCGGCGCACGGGUGAGUAACACGUAUCCAACCUGCCGUCUACUCUUGGACAGCCUUCUGAAAGGAAGAUUAAUACAAGAUGGCAUCAUGAGUCCGCAUGUUCACAUGAUUAAAGGUAUUCCGGUAGACGAUGGGGAUGCGUUCCAUUAGAUAGUAGGCGGGGUAACGGCCCACCUAGUCUUCGAUGGAUAGGGGUUCUGAGAGGAAGGUCCCCCACAUUGGAACUGAGACACGGUCCAAACUCCUACGGGAGGCAGCAGUGAGGAAUAUUGGUCAAUGGGCGAGAGCCUGAACCAGCCAAGUAGCGUGAAGGAUGACUGCCCUAUGGGUUGUAAACUUCUUUUAUAAAGGAAUAAAGUCGGGUAUGCAUACCCGUUUGCAUGUACUUUAUGAAUAAGGAUCGGCUAACUCCGUGCCAGCAGCCGCGGUAAUACGGAGGAUCCGAGCGUUAUCCGGAUUUAUUGGGUUUAAAGGGAGCGUAGAUGGAUGUUUAAGUCAGUUGUGAAAGUUUGCGGCUCAACCGUAAAAUUGCAGUUGAUACUGGAUAUCUUGAGUGCAGUUGAGGCAGGCGGAAUUCGUGGUGUAGCGGUGAAAUGCUUAGAUAUCACGAAGAACUCCGAUUGCGAAGGCAGCCUGCUAAGCUGCAACUGACAUUGAGGCUCGAAAGUGUGGGUAUCAAACAGGAUUAGAUACCCUGGUAGUCCACACGGUAAACGAUGAAUACUCGCUGUUUGCGAUAUACAGCAAGCGGCCAAGCGAAAGCGUUAAGUAUUCCACCUGGGGAGUACGCCGGCAACGGUGAAACUCAAAGGAAUUGACGGGGGCCCGCACAAGCGGAGGAACAUGUGGUUUAAUUCGAUGAUACGCGAGGAACCUUACCCGGGCUUAAAUUGCAGAUGAAUUACGGUGAAAGCCGUAAGCCGCAAGGCAUCUGUGAAGGUGCUGCAUGGUUGUCGUCAGCUCGUGCCGUGAGGUGUCGGCUUAAGUGCCAUAACGAGCGCAACCCUUGUUGUCAGUUACUAACAGGUCAUGCUGAGGACUCUGACAAGACUGCCAUCGUAAGAUGUGAGGAAGGUGGGGAUGACGUCAAAUCAGCACGGCCCUUACGUCCGGGGCUACACACGUGUUACAAUGGGGGGGUACAGAGGGCCGCUACCACGCGAGUGGAUGCCAAUCCCCAAAACCUCUCUCAGUUCGGACUGGAGUCUGCAACCCGACUCCACGAAGCUGGAUUCGCUAGUAAUCGCGCAUCAGCCACGGCGCGGUGAAUACGUUCCCGGGCCUUGUACACACCGCCCAUCAAGCCAUGGGAGCCGGGGGUACCUGAAGUGCGUAACCGCGAGGAGCGCCCUAGGGUAAAACUGGUGACUGGGGCU